GCAAAGCACUGUAAAAAAGGAAGUCUUCCUCAUAAACGUAAUGUUUAAUUUUUACUCCUGUGUAUUCUGCAAUUGCAAGAGAUUCCAUGAAGAGGUUGCAUCUUACCCUUUCAUGCUGAGCAGUUUAGAGAGAAUUUGAUACAAUGAUUUUCAAGCAUGGAAGACUCUGGAGUGUCAUUUUCUUCAACGAUCCAAAUGGGUGUAGGAGAAUAUACCCUAGGUUUUCGUUACAGGGGCCAGGACCAGUUUAUUACUGUGUGGGUACAAUCAAAACUGUGUGUAUUCUACACUCUCUAUGUCAUUUCUGAUGGACUGCUAAUAAUGGGUCAUUUGCAGUAGCUGCCUAGGGCACACCUAAUGACUCAGCUCUGGGGAGACUCAGCCUGAGGGGUCAUCUUUGCUAAUGGGCCAUACUGGACUGACAUAAUAGGCAGCUGCAACACCUAGACCAUCAAAGACUCAAAAAAA